rnacentral:misc_RNA from 1 species
UUGUGGAGGAGGACGCCGAAGGUGGGGCUAAUGACUGGGGUGAAGUCGUAACAAGGUAGCCGUACCGGAAGGUGCGGCUGGAUCACCUCCUAACAGGGAGACAACAAAAUGUUUAAUAUUAUUAUUUUGUCACCUUAGGUCGAUCGGUAUCUCACGUUUUUAAUUUAUUAAGAAUUUCAUUUCCUAAGUUUUUCUAGGUCACACCCAUUAUUUUUCCUGGGCCAUUAGCUCAGGUGGUUAGAGCGCACCCCUGAUAAGGGUGAGGUCCCUGGUUCAAGUCCAGGAUGGCCCAUAUCUCUAUGUUGGGGGUAUAGCUCAGUUGGUAGAGCGCCUGCUUUGCAAGCAGGAUGUCAGCGGUUCGAGUCCGCUUACUUCCACUGAUCACCACCUCUUCCAUAAUUGGUAGAAAGGAAAUUUUUUGAGUUGUGAUCAAAUUCUGAAAGAAUCUAGCUUCCUAAUGAAAUCAUUAAGAUGCUGGACUCAUUGAAUUAAUUUCAUUGUUUUCAGAGAACCUUGACAACUGCAUAGAUUAUUUUUAAAGACAAUAAGCAUCUUUAAUGAUGCAGAUUUAUUAUUUGUGCAAAUGCAUUAAUAACAAUUCUAUUAAGCUGAUGCUUCAAAAUUUGAAGUUAUUGGUCAAGCUACAA